CAAAGGGAACAGCACGAAGCAGACUCAGGGAGAGGGACUGCACGGCACAACUCCGGUGGGGAAACAGCCAACUCUGCCUCGGGACACAGGGACAGUUUAUUAUAGGACUGGCUACAAGUGAUGUCCUUGGUGUGAGACCUAAGGCGCAACUGACCUGGGGACACCAGCUUCUGGGUGGAGGUCAUGUGAGAACACACCGUCUCCUGGGAUGUCGCGGUUUUCUCUUGCUGCCAGAAGAUGCAUGUUUCUUUAAAUCUAUAGCAGGAACCUAACAGGGCUGGAGAGGGUUUGAGGCAGCAGCUCUGCAGAGGGGGUUCAGGAAUGACACCGUUUCCUGUAGUCCAUUAAAGUUCCUUGUU